CGGCAAUAGCUCAAAUUUGAAAUCUGGCCUCGCGCCCGAGUUGUAAUUUGUAGAGGGAGUCUCGGAAUCGUCCCCGGCUUAAGUCCCUUGGAACAGGGCGUCGUAGAGGGUGAGAGUCCCGUAUGCGGCCGGGUGCCUUUUCCAUGUGAGGCCCCUUCGAC
rnacentral:rRNA from 1 species